GGACACGGGUCGUCCACACCUGUCACCGCCACCGGGCGGAAAUCGGGAGGAGAAAAAAACCCGCAGACGCGGCCCGACCUAGCUCGGGUACAUUCGCAGAUCCACUCACCCCAGUCUUCAUCUGGUCCAUGAGGAAGAACCGGACUAAAAGGCGACUCCAUGGCGCCGGCAACACAAGCCGGCUUCCCCGAAACAGACACCUCUCCCUCACAACUCGGAUGGGUGAGUAACCUGAAACGGCGGCGGCCGGAGGACAAAAUAAGCUGAACGCUGACACGGACGGUGGCCGGGCGGAGGCAAACUAUCUCACCGCACGCGGGAACUGGGAUCCAAAGCUAAGGAGACGUCAGCAGAUAAGCAAACUCAAUAGACUUGCUUUUCCCAUGGUUACAAACAAACAUAAAUGCUUCCCAGAAUCCUCCGAGCUCCUCGUGGCUGCGGUUACUACCGAUUGCGAUUGCGGAAUGCAACAAGGGAAUGUCAUCUUUUAAUCCCUGUGAAAUGGUAGUUGGGUCAACAGCGAAGAGUUCCUGAGGUAAAUUCCAAAGUUCUACAAGAUAAUUGAAAUGCAUCCAACAGUCAGGAUUAAGCUUCUAAACUUUCAGAUAAACUCCCAAUGCCAAACUGAGGCGAUGCAUGCGAAACUCGGAAACUAAAAGCAAAAAUCUCCAGGUUGCAAAAUGAGGUACGAAAGCAAAGCAAGCAAGCCUUCACUCUAGACGGGGUGCCUGAUUUCAGUCCCAGCCAUUUUCAAACCCCGUGACUUUCUGCUCAACAAAAGGAACCACAAGUCUCUGCCUCCUAGGAAUUCUUGGAAAGUGACAGAAUGCAUUUAGUGUCCAAGAAAAUGACACCUCGGAAGAGUCCAGUCAUACCCGUACCCAGUAUCUACUCACUUGGACACUUCUCAGUCACCUUUUGUAAACGGUACUGCUUGUAAAAGGCACUGGACGUAUCGACUUCGUAUCCCAUUGCCUCAUACAGUUUCAGUUGCCAUUCAAACCCCUCAUUCACUCUGCAAUGAUAAGCAAGUAUGAAGUUUGGAUUCUUUCGAUUAAGAAGACAUGAAGAAAGGAGAAGUGCUUACAGCCAAAAAGGAAGACCCUAAGUUGGCCUUUGGCCAAUGGAAGUGCAGGGACACACACCAUACACACAUACAUGUGCACACACACAUAUACCAUACACACAAACACACGCUCAAAGAGGAAAAAGCAUUACUGGGACUCCAGAGGACUCACUUAGCCUCUGGCUUGACCGUCCGGAGGAUGUCGUAGGCUUUUUCAAAGGUAAGCUGGUCGGUCUUCAUUAUAAAAGCCAUCACUACAGCAACACUGCGACUGACUCCUGCAUGACUGAAAAAGAGACCUUCAAAAUAAAACGGCAAAUAGCAGCAAUUAAAAACCACGCCAGGCUGGGCAUGGUGGCACACGCCUUUAAUCCCAGCAUUUGGGAGGCAGAGGCAGGCAGAUCUCUGUGAGUUCGAGGCCAGCCUGGUCUACACAGUGAGUCCAGAGUGACCAGGGCUACACAGAGAAACCCUAUCUCAAUCAAUCAAUCAGUAAACAAAAGACAAAGCCCAGCUGCCUGCUAAUGGUAAAGUUUAGGUCCACCUCACUUCUGAGUCAUGACAAUCCCCGAGUGCUGGGAUUGCAGGUGAGGUGCAGUGUGCCCAGCUCAUUUCUACUUCCAUUCAAGUUAGCCCACUGCCUCUUACAUACGGUCAACACACGAAAGGAGUCAAUUGUUGCCUUUUUCCUUUUUAAUUCUGAACAAUAUGGAUGCAUUAUCUAUUCAACAAGAACUGCCUUAAAUGUUUUAACUGUUGUCAUGGCUCCUUGGCUCUGAACUUCAAGUUGUUCCAGAUCUGAUUCCGCACUUCUUAUCACUACCUCCUGUCCUCGUGUGAAUCUUUAGAACUGCUGGCACACAGACAGCGUCCAACAAAGAGGCUCUGUCGGACUCCAACAGGACCGCUCUGGAAUCCCCAAACACCUACUAAGAUUUCCUAGCCUUGUGGUUUUGCUGCAAUAUACCUGUCAAUGUCCU
rnacentral:lncRNA from 1 species